rnacentral:rRNA from 1 species
CCCUUAGACGUUCUGGGCCGCACGCGCGCUACACUGACCAGUGCAACAAGCAUCCGUCCUUGGCCGACAGGCUCGGGCAAUCUUUGAACGCUGGUCGUGAUGGGGAUAGACUUUUGCAAUUUUUGGUCUUCAACGAGGAAUUCCUAGUAAACGCAAGUCAUCAACUUGCAUUGAUUACGUCCCUGCCCUUUGUACACACCGCCCGUCGCACCUACCGAUUGAAUGGUCCGGUGAAGCCUCCGGAUUGGCCCGCACCUCGGUGCCGCCGAGAAGUUGGCUAAACCUUACCAUUUAGAGGAAGGUGAAGUCGUAACA